UACGUAGGGCCCAAGCGUUGUUCGGAUUUACUGGGCGUAAAGGGCGCGUAGGCGGCGUGGUAAGUCAAUUGUGAAAUCUCCGAGCUUAACUCGGAACGGUCAAUUGAUACUGCUGUGCUAGAGUGCAGAAGGGGCAAUCGGAAUUCUUGGUGUAGCGGUGAAAUGCGUAGAUAUCAAGAGGAACACCUGAGGUGAAGACGGGUUGCUGGGCUGACACUGACGCUGAGGCGCGAAAGCCAGGGUAGCAAACGGG
rnacentral:rRNA from 1 species